rnacentral:rRNA from 1 species
UACGUAGGGACCGAGCGUUGUCCGGAAUUAUUGGGCGUAAAGGGCUCGUAGGCGGUUUGUCGCGUCGGGAGUGAAAACACCGGGCUUAACUCGGUGCUUGCUUUCGAUACGGGCAGACUAGAGGUAUGCAGGGGAGAACGGAAUUCCUGGUGUAGCGGUGAAAUGCGCAGAUAUCAGGAGGAACACCGGUGGCGAAGGCGGUUCUCUGGGCAUUACCUGACGCUGAGGAGCGAAAGUGUGGGGAGCGAACAGG